GAGAGAAGGAAUAUGUGCGUUUGCAAUCGCAUCUUUUUUAUGUAGGUUUGACAGCGAAACUUAACGCACAGCAAAUGUGCUAAAAUACACCGUUCUAGGUUUAGGUUUUUACAGGGAUGAGCAGCGGCAGUGGUUGGCAUUCCCCUGUGUUUAUGGUGUCGGCAGCCUCCUCCGUCAGUAGCACCGACAGCCUGGCUAGUGACACCAUCUCCCCACUGCCCAGGGACCACCAGAGGCCUCAUCAGGGCCCACAACACAUGCCAAGGCAGCAGCAGCAGCACUCAUCCCAGGGGCCCAACCACCAUACCCACAAAUAAGGGGCUAGGAGCAGCAGUGAAGUCCAUCUCCUACCAGCCUCCCUUAGUGAGAGGGAGAUAGCAGCUCCUGUGAGUAGUCAUCAUUGUAUUCCACUCAGUUUCAAUAAGGAAUCAAACAGUCAUAUUUCAUUCUGACUGUCAUCUCUUCAGGAAGUCAGUGAAUGUAGUAUUUUCUCAGCUCCUCUGACAGACCAUUGUUCCAUUAUUCUUUCCUUUUGUUUUGAUAAUGACAAGAUUUUCUAAAGCAUACUGGAAAUGUACCUCUUUUCUUUUAAAGAAUGAGUCAUUUUGUUUACAGUCUAUAAAGUUCUGUCUCGAUUCUGCUCUUCUACUAACAAAUGGAAAAUGAUUCAAUUCAGAAUACCAGUGGAAUUACCCCCCCCCCCCCCCCCCACACACACACAAAAUAUUGAUUUGGAAUAGAGUUAUUAAAAUUGAUAGGAAAUCCAUUUAAGGCCUUUGGUUUUACAAGGGUAUUAAUUUUGCAUCUGAAUUCCACUUCCUUUACUUGGAUUUAUUAAGAACACUUUGUUAUAUGUUGUUCUCUCUUUUCUAAGUUUACAAAUGAAUGAUUUGAAUCUUUUGGGUGAAAAAAAUGCAACAAUAAGUGGAUACGAUUGGCAGUUAAUGAAGUAAUUUUUGGUGAUUAUAAUUCAAUAUUAUUGAAAUGGAAGUGACCAACCCAUGCUAUGGUCAAAAGUCAAAAGCAACUACCUUUUACCUUACUUGUCUAGUUAUUCUAGUCUAGUUAUUCCAAAAGUUAAAGAAACUCAUUUUUAAAUAUUUUCUUCCAUCUACCCUGUAAAUGAUUUCUUGCACAAAAAAUUCAAUUUUGACCUUAUGCCUUGUUUUUUCUUCCUCUGAUUCAGAAUCUCUAAAGCAUUUAAUUUUUCAUGCCGCCAUUCCAGUUAACUAUGGAUUGAAAUUCAUGAAUGGUUGUGUAUAAAAU